GCCCCCCUAGCUCAGUCGGUAGAGCGUUUCCAUGGUAAGGAAGAGGUCAACGGUUCGAUUCCGUUGGGGGGCU
rnacentral:tRNA from 1 species